CCGCAGCCGGCUCCCGGCGGUUCAAGUUUCUGCGCCCAGAGGACGCGGCCUUGGCCAAUCCCAGGGCUACAGGGCGCUUUUAAAAUGCAGGCAGAGUCUCGCCCCAGGCUGGAGUGCAGUGGUACGAUCACAGCUCACUGUAGCCUCAGCCUCCUGGGCUGUGAUCCUCCCACUUCAGCCUCCCAAGUAGUUGGGACUACAAGAGUGCACCACCACACCUGGCUGAUUUUUUUUGUUUUCUGAAGAGACAGGAUAUUGCUAUGUUGCCCAGGCUGGUCUCUAAAUCCUGGUCUCAAGCAACCCUCCAGCCUCGGCCUCCCAAAGUGCUGGGAUUACAAAUGUGAACCACCACACCUGGCCCUGAAAGACUCUUGAAGGAAGAGGAUGCAGAGGCUGCUGCCUGCAGCAGGCAGCACCGGACUCCCCUCCCGAGGCUGCUGUACCUGUGAUUUGAGGAGCUCAGAGAUCUUUUCCUAGCAGCCCCGCCAGUGCUGGCCCGACAAACUGCCUACAAUUCCAUCAUCACUCAUCCUAAAAUGUAAUAUUUUGUCUAGGAGAGGGAACACUUUGCUUUAUUAUUGAGGGAAAAGGAAGAUGGAAACUUACUUUACUUGAGUACCUACUAUAUGCCAAGCAUGAAAUGGGCACCUCUCACAUUGCCUUUGAGCCCACAAGGCAGCCAGGCCAGACAGGGGAGCUACUCACCCCUUCAGGUGAGAGAAUGGAAACUCAGAAGGGCCUGAGGCUUGCCAAGAGCUUGGCAGACCAGGAUGGGAACCAGAGCUGACUCUCCACCCUCGCUUCGGCCACGGCACUCAGCCACUUCUCCUCUUCCCUGGCUGUGGCUCCCUGGAGCACGGGAUGAGAUAAAGCAGGGUUUGGGGGCACUCGGGCCUGGGUUCAGGGGCAGACCUGCUGCCAAUCAGCUCUGUGGCCUGAGCAGUCGCAUCUCGGGUGUGUCUUCAUCUGUGGAUGGGCCAGCAGCAGCACUGACCCCACGGGGUUAUGAUGGGGACAGAAGGAGCUACGAAGUCCGUGACACAGCACCUGGGCCAGGGCUCAGGAAGGGGCAAGACCGUGUUGUCUUCUUACCAACUCCCACUUGGUCAGGCAUUUACAGCCCCAGCUCCCAACCCAGGCACAGCCCACCCCUUCUCCGACCUUGACAGCAGCAGGAGUGGGAUCCAGCUCCCUGUCCCCCACGUCUCCAUCCUGGAGGAUCUGAGGCAGAGCAGGCAGCGGCCCAAGCAGUUGGCCUGUGAGUGAGUGUGAGUUUGUUCUUGGGGCCGGGCAGCCUCUGCAGGCUUCUGCCUCCUCCCUGCACCACUCCCGGCAACCGUGAUUCUCCACUCCACCCAGGAACCUACUUCAGGGAACCACAGAGGCCAAAUUCAGAAUCCCUACUUGAACCACUGACCUUUUGCCUUCUCCAAGGCCGGAAGCAAGCCCUUGCCUGCUGCACGCCUCAGUUGCCCCAUCUGUAAAGUGGGCAGCCCAUCAAAUUCACAUCUCCCUGGCUGAGAGUCAUCUGGAGAAAUAAUGAGUACGUGACCUAAUGAAAAUUGCACGGUGCCUGCCAAGCGAAGUGGGUAAGCCAUUGGCCCAGCACUGUCAUUACAGGAGGUGAAGCAGCGUGUGGGCUGAUGACUGGCAAGGGGUGCUGGAAGCUUUCAUCAUGGGUUCCCUUGGGAGGCCAGGAUUCCAGCUGGAUCUUGUUCUGCUCUGUCCUGCCAGCCCCGACUGUGGGAAAGACGUGGAAACUGCUCCGGACCCUUUCCUGGCCUGCAGGACGUGGCCCAUCCAGCUACCCCCACUCUGGGCUUGGAGGCCAAGGCCACAGCCUGGAGAUCAGUGGAGCAUGGGAUACCAAACGCUCUGGAAGGUCAGCCCAGGAAGCUGGGGCAACUGCAAGAGGCAGAAAAGUGUUGCUGAAGUCCAGCCAGGCCUGGUGGCAGGCGUCUGUAAUCCCAGCUACUCGGGAGGCUGAAGCAGGAGAAUCGCUUGAAUCGAGAGGCAGAGGUUGCAGUGAGUUGAGAUCGUGUCAUUGCACUCCAGCCUGGGCAACAAGAGUGAAACUCCAACUCAAAAA
ensembl:lncRNA